rnacentral:rRNA from 1 species
CAGCCGCCGCGGGAAAACGUAGGGUGCAAGCGUUAAUCGGAAUUACUGGGCGUAAAGCGUGCGCAGGCGGUUAUAUAAGACAGAUGUGAAAUCCCCGGGCUCAACCUGGGAACUGCAUUUGUGACUGUAUAGCUAGAGUACGGCAGAGGGGGAUGGAAUUCCGCGUGUAGCAGUGAAAUGCGUAGAUAUGCGGAGGAACACCGAUGGCGAAGGCAAUCCCCUGGGCCUGUACUGACGCUCAUGCACUAAAGCGUGGGGAGCAAACAGGAUUAGAUACCCCGGUAGUCCCUGUCUCUUAUAC